AGUCGACGAGACCUUCGGGUCUAGUGGCGCACGGGUGCGUAACGCGUGGGAAUCUGCCCUUGGGUUCGGAAUAACAGUUGGAAACGACUGCUAAUACCGGAUGAUGACGAAAGUCCAAAGAUUUAUCGCCCAGGGAUGAGCCCGCGUAGGAUUAGCUAGUUGGUGAGGUAAAGGCUCACCAAGGCUACGAUCCUUAGCUGGUCUGAGAGGAUGAUCAGCCACACUGGGACUGAGACACGGCCCAGACUCCUACGGGAGGCAGCAGUAGGGAAUAUUGGACAAUGGGGGCAACCCUGAUCCAGCAAUGCCGCGUGAGUGAUGAAGGCCUUAGGGUUGUAAAGCUCUUUUACCCGGGAUGAUAAUGACAGUACCGGGAGAAUAAGCCCCGGCUAACUCCGUGCCAGCAGCCGCGGUAAUACGGAGGGGGCUAGCGUUGUUCGGAAUUACUGGGUGUAAAGCGCACGUAGGCGGCGAUUUAAGUCAGAGGUGAAAGCCCGGGGCUCAACCCCGGAAUAGCCUUUGAGACUGGAUUGCUUAAAUCUUGGAGAGGCGGGUGGAAUUCCGAGUGUANAGGUGAAAUUCGUAGAUAUUCGGAAGAACACCAGUGGCGAAGGCGGCCCGCUGGACAAGUAUUGACGCUGAGGUGCGAAAG
rnacentral:rRNA from 1 species